rnacentral:rRNA from 1 species
GACGAACGCUGGCGGCGUGCCUAAUACAUGCAAGUAGAACGCUGAAGGAGGAGCUUGCUUCUCUGGAUGAGUUGCGAACGGGUGAGUAACGCGUAGGUAACCUGCCUGGUAGCGGGGGAUAACUAUUGGAAACGAUAGCUAAUACCGCAUAACAGUAGAUAUCGCAUGAUAUCUACUUGAAAGGUGCAAUUGCAUCACUACCAGAUGGACCUGCGUUGUAUUAGCUAGUUGGUGAGGUAACGGCUCACCAAGGCGACGAUGCAUAGCCGACCUGCGAGGGGGAUCGGCCACACUGGGAGUGAGACACGGCCCAGACGCCUACGGGAGGCAGCAGUAGGGAAUCUUCGGCAAGGGACGGAAGUCUGACCGAGAAACGCCGCGGGAGGGAAGAAGGUUGUCGGAUCGUAAAGCUCGGUUGUAAGAGAAGAACGAGUGUGAGAGUGGAAAGUUCACACUGUGACGGUAUCUUACCAGAAAGGGACGGCUAACUACGUG